rnacentral:rRNA from 1 species
UGCAAGUCGAACGAGAAUCUGUGGAAAGAGGAUUCGUCCAAUUGAAGCAGAGGACAGUGGCGGACGGGUGAGUAACGCGUGAGGAACCUGCCUUUCAGAGGGGGACAACAGUUGGAAACGACUGCUAAUACCGCAUAACAUAUAGAUGUCGCAUGGCAUUUAUAUCAAAGAUUUAUCGCUGAAAGAUGGCCUCGCGUCUGAUUAGCUAGUUGGUGAGGUAACGGCCCACCAAGGCGACGAUCAGUAGCCGGACUGAGAGGUUGAACGGCCACAUUGGGACUGAGAUACGGCCCAGACUCCUACGGGAGGCAGCAGUGGGGAAUAUUGGGCAAUGGGCGCAAGCCUGACCCAGCAACGCCGCGUGAAGGAAGAAGGCUUUCGGGUUGUAAACUUCUUUUGUCAGGGACGAGUAGAAGACGGUACCUGACGAAUAAGCCACGGCUAACUACGUGCCAGCAGCCGCGGUAAUACGUAGGUGGCAAGCGUUGCCCGGAUUUACUGGGUGUAAAGGGCGUGUAGCCGGGAGGGCAAGUCAGAUGUGAAAUCCACGGGCUCAACUCGUGAACUGCAUUUGAAACUACUCUUCUUGAGUAUCGGAGAGGCAAUCGGAAUUCCUAGUGUAGCGG